AUGCAAAGUCGCUAUCUCGAGAGGAAGAGUUUGAAAGUUGUACCUGAACUUUUCCGGAGAAUUUCUUGUCUCCGUCGAAUUAUUGAAUCGCGAAAACAGAGGAAGAUUGGAACAGAGGAAAGUGUAGGAGCGGUGUUGAGGAAGGAAAGAGAUGGUCAUUUGCUUCUAAUUGCAAGCCCUUUUCAAUUAUACACCCUUUGUUUCUAUAAUUAA